UACGUAGGUGGCAAGCGUUGUCCGGAUUUACUGGGCGUAAAGGGAGCGUAGGCGGACUUUUAAGUGAGAUGUGAAAUACCCGGGCUCAACUUGGGUGCUGCAUUUCAAACUGGAAGUCUAGAGUGCAGGAGAGGAGAAUGGAAUUCCUAGUGUAGCGGUGAAAUGCGUAGAGAUUAGGAAGAACACCAGUGGCGAAGGCGAUUCUCUGGACUGUAACUGACGCUGAGGCUCGAAAGCGUGGGGAGCAAACAGGAUUAGAUACCCG
rnacentral:rRNA from 1 species